rnacentral:misc_RNA from 2 species
CUGCCCUCAAGCCCGGCUUGUGUGUUGGGUCUCGUCCCCCCUCCCGGGGACGGGCCCGAAAGGCAGCGGCGGCACCGCGUCUGGUCCUCGAGCGUAUGGGGCUUUGUCACCCGCUCUGUAGGCCCGGCCGGCGCCUGCCGAUCAACCAAUUUCUUUCCA